rnacentral:rRNA from 1 species
GACGAACGCUGGCGGCGUGCUUAACACAUGCAAGUCGAACGGAAAGGCCUCUUUCGGGGGGUACUCGAGUGGCGAACGGGUGAGUAACACGUGAGUAACCUGCCCUUGACUUUGGGAUAACUUCAGGAAACUGGGGCUAAUACCGGAUAGGAGCUCCUGCUGCAUGGUGGGGGUUGGAAAGUUUCGGCGGUUGGGGAUGGACUCGCGGCUUAUCAGCUUGUUGGUGGGGUAGUGGCUUACCAAGGCUUUGACGGGUAGCCGGCCUGAGACGGUGACCGGCCACAUUGGGACUGAGAGACGGCCCAGACUCCUACGGGAGGCAGCAGGGGGGAAUAUUGCACAAUGGGUGGAGGCCUGAUGCAGCAGCGCCGUGUGCGGGAUGACGGCCUUCGGGUUGUAAACCGCUUUCGCUCAUGACGAAGCUUUGUGUGACGGUAGUGGGUAAAGAAGCACCGGCUAACUACGUG